rnacentral:lncRNA from 10 species
GAGUAAGGGGGAAUGUGUGGAAGUACCCAACAUGGAUGGGGAGAGCUGGAAACGUCUGCCUGCUCUGAGCUGUGUUGGAAACCUGAGGAGGCAAUGUAGAUGCCUCUGGUGUACUGGGGAGGGUCAGUACAAAGAAGUGGCACAAGAACACCAAAAACAAGGAAGUUGCCAUUAAUUUCUGCAAGAAAAAAAUGAAAGUGUACCAGUCAGAGUUGUUAAAGCAGAAAAGGAUUUUACUGAAAGAACAUAGGAUUGCUCCCAGAGUUUCCAGGAGGGCUGAUGAACAAGCCUUGAGAAGCCAGCAGGAAGAAUGGCAGGCCAGGCAGGCAGAGCCAUGGCCAAGACUGUACCACAGAUCAACCUCAGGGAAGCACACUGAUGCCUCUACAGGGACUCAGACAUCUCAGUUUCAAUCAGUACCACCAAUGCCACUGAACACUGGACUUGGCUGCUGCUGCCUUCACCACUGUAAUGGAUUCUCCACUUUGCCUGUUUCUUUGUCCAAAUUCACAGUGCCAGCCUGCUGCAUUUAAUUGACCAGGUCUGUUUCAGUCACCCAUGACUUAAACUGCCAGGGGUGCUGGGGAACAAUCAUCAGGUUUUGGGGUUCCCAUGCUGGGAAGUGGGCAUGAGCAGUGAAUGGAGUUAAUAGAGGGAUGAUAUACCAGGAAGUUAAAAAAAAAGAAAUUACAGUCAUCUACAAUAUUGAGAGAAAUGAUUUUUUAUAAAAAGCAGUUUUUCUUCUAUGCUGCCUAUGUGAAAGCAAUAAAUAUCCAAAGCAAUGUUAUGAGUAGUGUAUUAAAAUUAACAUGGGUAUUUUAAGACUUCUUUGGGAGGUGAGAGCAGGUCCAUAUGUACAUACAAAUCAUUUUUGAGAUGGCCCCUGGAGGGGGUUCUGUGGUAAGAACCUGAGGAGGGCCUCUUAGAGUAGUCCUGAUUGAUAGUUGUCAAGAAAACAGGGACUUUACUUGACAACUACAAGAAUCUUAAUUUUUCCAACCACCAGUGAACUUGGAAGAAGACUUCAAGUUUUUGAUGAGAUCAUGGCAUUGACUGACAUCUUGAUUUCAGCCUCGUGAGAUGUUGAUUAGAGGACCAAGUUAUCCUGCUCUGGACUCCUUACUUAAAGAAACUCAGAUAUUAGAUUUGUGUUGUAUUAAGUUGCUAAAUUUAUGGUAAUUUGUUAUGCAGCAAUAGAAAACUAAUACAGUGACAAAUAAAAUAUUACCAAAAUGUUCUUCAAUAGGGACAGAUUAAGUAAAUGAUGAUACAUUCACACAAUGGAGUAAUAUUAGUUUUAAUAGGAAUAAAGAAUAUCUGUGUGAGGUGUUUUUAUAUGCUAACUUUUGUAUAAGAAAGACUAUGAAUACAUACACACCAAUGCUUAUAUUUUCAAUAUGAAAUAGUAGGAUGAUAAAUCAAAUUAAAUAAAAAAUGGUUACUUAGAAGAGGAGUCAAGGACCAAAGAGAAGAAAACAGGAUUGACAAGAGAAUUUUGUAAAUAUACCUUGUUAUGUUUUUGACUUCGGUACUAUGUAAAAUGUUUACAUAAUGAAAGCUAAAAUUAAAUAAUAAAAAGAAAUCCCUAAACAUUAAAAAUGGAAAUAAACAAACCUAGCUGCAUAUCAAUUUGGUAGCAAAAUUACACAGAUAAAUUUAUUAUUUAAAGUGACUUUAAAGCACAGUAUUUUGACUAUUUCUGCUUAGUGGGAUGUAUCUAAGGACAGAUUUAUGUAUAUGGCCUAGGCAACCACUAAUUGACUUCAAGUAGGACAAACACAAAGAAGUCCACAAUCAGGUGCAUUAUAGAAAAUGCUGAAAAACAGACAGAGAGAAAAUCUUGAAAGGAGUGAGAAACAAAUUGAGUAAUUUCUUCAUAUACGCACAAGCCCCAAUAAAAUUAAUAAAUGAUUUCUCAUCAGAAACAAUGGAAGCCAGAGAUAGUGGGAUGACAUAUUCAAAGAGCUGGAAGAAAAAAAUUGUCAACUAAGAAUCUUUUAUUCUGCAAAAAAGAUGAAAUAAAGACAUUCCCAGAGCAACAGAAAAUGAGACAAUUAGUGGCUAGGAAACCCACCUUACCUGAAAUACUAAAGGAAGUUUUUCACACUGAAAGCAAGUGAGUCCAGAUCUUCAUUCAAAUGCACCCCCUAAAACAAAGAGUACUGGUAAAGGUAAUUGUGUAAUAUAAAAUAAGUAUAAAUAAAAUAUUUCUUUUUAUUUCUUUUCUUAGGUACAGUUUAACAGCAAUUGUAUAAAACAAUAUGCAUAUACAGUUGAACUUUGAACAACAUGGGUUUAAAUUGUGUGGGUCCCCUUAUAUGUAGAUAUCUUUCAAUAAAUAUAUUGGAAAAUUUUUUGGAGAUUUGUGACAAUUUGAAAAAAAACUCAUUGAUGAGCUGCUUAGCCUAGAAAUAUAAAACAAUUAAGAAAAAGUUAGGUAUGGCAUGAAUGCAUAAAAUAUAUGUGGAGACUAUUUUAUCAUUUACUACCAUAAAAUGUAUAAAAAUCUAUUAUAAAAAGUUAAAAUUGAUUAAAAUUUAUGCACACAAACACUUACAGGCCAUACAUGGUGCCAUUAGCAGUCAAGAGAAAUGUAAACAAAUAAAAAUAUGCAGUGUUAAGUCAUAGUUGCAUAAAAUUAACUGUGAUCAUACUGUGCUACUGUAAUAAUUUUGGAGCCACCUCCUGUUGCUAUUGUGGUGAGCUCAAGUGUUGUGUAUAUCUCCUUAAAAUACCAUAUGAUGCUAAUCAACUCCACGUGAACAGGUCACCUCUCUGAUAAACUUCUGAUUGCAGUGCAAAGUGAUCUCUCAUGGUUAUUUUAUAUUUUUCAUCAUGUUUAGUGCAAUACCAUAUACCUUGAAUAGCACCACGAGACCUAUAUGAAGUGCCACUAGUGAAGCUGUAUGUGCUCCUGAGAAGCAGAGAAAAAUCAUGACAUUACAAGAAAAAGUUGAAUUGCUUGAUAGUACUAUUGAUUGAAGUCUGCAGCUGCUUUUACUCACCAUUUCAGACAGGUGAUUCAUCUUGUAAACAGGCAACACAAAUUAUGGUAUCAAUAAAUACAGUACAGUACUGUACAUGUAUUUUCUCUUCCUUAUGAUUUUCUUAGUGACAUUUUAUUUUCUCUAGAUUACGUUGGCAUUGGAGCCAACUAGAAGGGAGUUCCCUCGUGGAUGGGACAAUGUGAGCAUCAAAAGGAAUGACUGCAUCAAACUGAAACACAAC